rnacentral:lncRNA from 1 species
UUCUAUCCUUGAGUAUUGCCUCCUUGGCAAUCCUGUCUGUAUGAAAACAUUCUCUUGGGAGUCCUAUGUUCAAAAACCGGACACCAACCACUCAUAUAAAGCAGAUUUCCUUAAGAGCAUGCUCCUCUGAAUAAAAGAGGAUCAAUAAUAGAAGAUCCUGAAGCAGAAGGACAGAAUCCUUGUCUUGACUGGGCAGGAGAGAAGAAAUUUGCCAACAUUUAAUGAUAAUUGUUAAGUUAGGUGGCACCACAGUGCAUAGAGCAUCAGGACAGGAGUUGGGAAGAGAGAGAAAUGAGCCAUGAUGUGAUUAUACAAUUAUUUCUUUGUGUCUUGCUUGUUUGCCAUCACACAUUUCUGGAUUUCAAGACAACUUUUGUAUUGAAAUGAGUUACCAGAUCAAGAAGAAAAAUGUAGGUUUGUUGGAAGAUCUUUAACUUUAUAGGCAAGGCUUUAUUUCUUCAUUUUUGUAUUUCUUUCUUUUAAAAUAUAUAUUACAUAUAUAUGGUAGAUGUAACUAAAACAUAUAAAUGUUGAAUUUUGUAUGAAAGGGUUUGAACUAGACAGGAUUUCAUCACUCGGUGGAUCCUAGAAUGGAAUGUGCUUCCAUAUAGAUUAUUAAUUUUUCCAUAACUUAUAGAGUUAGGAAGCUUCAAAGAUCUCCUGGGGACACCAAGAGUUAAGUGACUUUCCUAGGGUCACAGCCAUUGUAUAUCAAAGAAAAUACUUGAAUCUAGUCUUUGUGAUACUAAGGUUAACCCAUUAUACAACUCUCAUAGUUAUAUCUAUAAUCUAAAUCAUAUUUGUAUUUGUGUGGGGAAGGGAAAGAUCUAGGAUCUUCACUGUCUCUAAUCCCCAAUAUCCAGAUGUUAAGUCUCUAGGACAUCCUUCAGAUACAUACCCUUCUGUCAUCUGACACCACCUCUGAAGAGUUCAGUCUGCACUCCUGCAACAGCUGGCCAAUGGAUCUUCCUGCCUCAAGUUUCUCCACACUCCAAUCCAUCCUCCUUUCAACCACUAAGGCCUAGAGCUGAUGACUCCAUACCUGUGAGUAUCAGCCUUACAGGACUUCAAAUCAGACUGCUCUGCAUUUUGAGACUCAAAAAGAAGGUGAAAUGAGGACUUAUCUACUGGCUGAAAUUUAAAUUUUCCAGGUGGCAGAAGUCCUGGAGAGUUGGAAUCAAAAAAUGGAAAUUUACACUUAAAGAAUCCAGUCUGUGUUUUAUGGAUAUACAUGUGUUCUCUUUGAAAACUGCUCUCUGAAACACCGAG